AAAGCGUAAUAGUAUAUGCUUGCUUGACUGUAAGAUUUACAAAUCGAACAGGGACGAAAGUCGAUUAUAGUGAUCCGGUGAUUCUGUGUGGAAAAGGUCACCGCUCAUCGAAUAAAAGGUACGCCGGGGAUAACAGGCUAAUCAUUCUCUAGAGACCCUAUCGACGGAAUGGUUUGGCACCUCGAUGUUGGAUUAUCGCAUCCUGGAAUUGAAGAUGAUUCCAAGGGUUUGGCUGUUCGCCAAGUAAAGCGGUACAUGAUCUGAGUUCAGAACGUCGUGAGACAGUUUGGUCCCUAUCUGCCGUGGGCGUUGGAAGUUUGAAGGGGGCUGCUCCUAGUACGAGAGGACCGGAGUGGACGAACCUCUGGUGUAUCGGUUGUCACGCCAGUGGCAUUGCCGGGUAGCUAUGUUCGGAAUAGAUAACCGCUGAAAGCAUCUAAGCGGGAAACUAACCUCAAAACAAGGCUUCGCCGAGAGCCGUGGUAGACCACCACGUUGAUAGGCCAGGUGUGGAAGCGCGGUGACGCGUGUAGCUUAC
rnacentral:rRNA from 1 species